GUGCUCGCUUCGGCAGCACAUAUACUAAAAUUAGAAUGAUACAGAGAAGAUUAGCAUGGCCCCAAUAAAAAAACUGAAAAGUUAAUACUAUAAAAGUUGUCAUUUUUU